rnacentral:rRNA from 1 species
AGGAUGAACGCUGGCGGCGUGCCUAAAACAUGCAAGUCAUACGGUCUACCUUCGGGUAGACAGUGGCAAACGGGUGAGUAACACGUGGGAACACGCCUUCGAGUGGGGAAUAACGCUGAGAAAUCAGUGCUAAUACCGCAUAUGGUCUAACGACUAAAGCAGCAAUGCGCUCGGAGAGUGGCCCGCGUCCGAUUAGCUAGUUGGUGGGGUAAUGGCCUACCAAGGCGGUGAUCGGUAGCUGGUCUGAGAGGAUGGUCAGCCACACUGGGACUGCGAACGGCCCAGACUCCUACGGGAGGCAGCAGUUAGGAAUUUUCGGCAAUGGACGAAAGUCUGACCGAGCGACGCCGCGUGGAGGAUGAAGCCUUUCGGGGUGUAAACUCCUUUUCUGCGGGAAGAUAAUGACGGUACCGCAGGAAUAAGCACCGGCUAACUACGUGCCAGCAGCCGC